AAUCAACGCUGGCGGCGUGCCUAACACAUGCAAGUCGAACGCGAAAGCCCGCAAGGGUAAGUAGAGUGGCGCACGGGUGAGUAACACGUGGACAACCUGCCUUCGAGUGGGGAAUAACCUUCCGAAAGGAGGGCUAAUACCGCAUAACACCUCGGGACACAAGUUCUGGGGUUGAAAAGAGCAAUUUGCUCGAAGAGGGGUCCGCGCCUGAUUAGCUAGUUGGUGAGGUAACGGCUCACCAAGGCUUCGAUCAGUAGCCGUCCUGAGAGGGAGCACGGCCACACUGGAACUGAGACACGGUCCAGACUCCUACGGGAGGCAGCAGUGGGGAAUUUUUGGCAAUGGGCGAAAGCCUGACCAAGCAACGCCGCGUGGGUGAUGAAGUAUCUUGGUACGUAAAACCCUUUCGGCAGGGACGAACCUAAUGACGGUACCUGCGG
rnacentral:rRNA from 1 species